rfam:Gossypium arboreum cultivar AKA8401 contig_6782_1, whole genome shotgun sequence.
UGUUAAAAAUUUCAUCCAUUUCCACUUUUAAAAAUUGGACAAAAUAACCAAACAAUUAAACGUGUGUCUCAUUCUAACAUACAUGGACCAAUUUUUAACAAUAGAAUUGGAUGAAAUUUUUAACA